GAGACACCCUUAUAGGGCAGGACUUGCUUCAGUGGCGCUCUGGUGCUCACUGAGUCUGUCCCUUGAGUGUGUCGCU
rnacentral:pre_miRNA from 1 species